GAUCAUGGCUCAGGAUGAACGCUAGCUACAGGCUUAACACAUGCAAGUCGAGGGGCAGCAUUGGGGUAGCAAUACUCAGAUGGCGACCGGCGCACGGGUGAGUAACACGUAUCCAACCUGCCGCUUACUCGGGGAUAGCCUUUCGAAAGAAAGAUUAAUACCCGAUGGUAUAAAGAGUUCGCAUGUUCUCUUUAUUAAAGAAUUUCGGUAAGCGAUGGGGAUGCGUUCCAUUAGAUAGUUGGCGGGGUAACGGCCCACCAAGUCUACGAUGGAUAGGGGUUCUGAGAGGAAGGUCCCCCACAUUGGAACUGAGACACGGUCCAAACUCCUACGGGAGGCAGCAGUGAGGAAUAUUGGUCAAUGGACGAGAGUCUGAACCAGCCAAAGUAGCGUGAAGGAUGACUGCCCUAUGGGUUGUAAACUUCUUUUAUAAGGGAAUAAAGUGAGGGACGUGUCCCUUUUUGUAUGUACCUUAUGAAUAAGGAUCGGCUAACUCCGUGCCAGCCGCCGC
rnacentral:rRNA from 1 species